CGACAUUCCGGGGAUACGGACGCGCAGGGGCACCUACUAGAUCCAACCCAUGCUAGGCGGGUCAGGAACACGUAAGGUCGCAUUUCGGUCCCGCCGGGGCUUCGCGCGCCGAUUCGCCGCAGCCAAUGCAUGCAUAUAAUCAAAUCGCAGCUGUAGGUACGCGCGGCGCAUGGGGGAAAGCAGGGGCUGGCGAGAUAUCGGGGAUACGGACGCGCAGGGGCACCUACUGGAUCCAACUCAUGCUAGGCGGGUCAGGAACACGUAAGGUCGCAUUUCGGUCCCGCUGGGGCUUCGCGCGCCGAUUCGCCGCAGCCAAUGCAUGCAUAUAAUCAUAACGCAGCUGUAGGUACGCGCGGCGCAUGGGGGAAAGCAGGGGCAGGCGACAUUCCGGGGAUACGGACGCGCAGGGGCACCUACUAGGAUCCAACUCAUGCUAGGCGGGUCAGGAACAUGUAAUGUCGCAUUUCGGUCCCGCCGGGGCUUCGCGCGCCGAUUCGCCGCAGCCAAUGCAUGCAUAUAAUCAAACCGCAGCUGUAGGUACGCGCGGCGCAUGGGGGAAAGCAGGGGCAGGCGACAUUCCGGGGAUACGGACGCGCAGGGGCACCUACUAGAUCCAACCCAUGCUAGGCGGGUCAGGAACACGUAAGGUCGCAUUUCGGUCCCGCCGGGGCUUCGCGCGCCGAUUCGCCGCAGCCAAUGCAUGCAUAUAAUCAUAACGCAGCUGUAGGUACGCGCGGCGCAUGGGGGAAAGCAGGGGCAGGCGACAUUCCGGGGAUACGGACGCGCAGGGGCACCUACUAGGAUCCAACUCAUGCUAGGCGGGUCAGG
rnacentral:lncRNA from 1 species